rnacentral:lncRNA from 1 species
GAAACAGGGAGCGUGGACCAGCAAAACAUGCAGAGAAGGGACUCAGUAGAGCUUUCUCAGGAGCUGAGUUUUAUUUAUUUUUUUUUUAAUUUUUUUUUUUUUUGGUUGGUAUUUUUCUUUAAAAUCCUGUGCACCCAAUGAAGGAUGAAUGAAGGUGGUAUUCUUUGUUUGCUUGUUUGUUUCUUUUGGCAGAGAGAUGUGACUCCCUUUGAAAACCCGAGUAUAUUUUCCAUUUGUUUGCUGUUUUGCUCAUGUCUGCAUCAAGGCAGACAGACAGUGUGGUUAUUGGAACUGGACCCCUUCAGAGUUCAUCAUUGAUGUCACCAAAUGAGUUAGCUCUAAGUACAGCUGGACCAGAAAUAAGCUGCUCUCACCAGAGUAAAAGGAAGAGGAUGGGUAGUGUGAGAAUAUUGAAAACAGGAGUGAUCUUGUCGUUUUUCUUGAUCUUUUUAAAGAAGUCCCUAACCAAGGCUGAUUUCCAGAGGUGCCUGCACAGAUGAGGAUGCACUGUGUCCACCCUCUCCUUCCCUACCAGGGGGUCUGCGGGUGCCCUGGCAGUGUGAGCAAACAGCACAUGAUGAACAGCACAAAAGAGCAGCAGACAGACUGCAAAGCAGAUAAACUGUGCAAAGACUGCCCAGUCAUCCCAGGAAAAGAACAAGUAAGGCAAGGGAAAAAAUUUGGAGACAUAAAAUGUGGUUUGGUGAUAGAACGAACAAAACCAAAAUCAAAGUAUGUCGGAAUCCAGCUAAAAUAAUCAUGAGAAGGACAACUGAAAGAAGGGAUGAACAAAAAACCCAUAAAACUGAAUUGUCUUCAAAACAAAGAAAAUUAAAGGAUGGUAAGAGACAUAU